rnacentral:lncRNA from 1 species
CAGGGUAAGCACCUAAGCCCUUGGAAAGGAGUAGUGAUGAUGAUGAUGUUAACAGUUAGCAUUUGUCCUUACUUUGUGCCAGGUACUGUUUUAAGCAGUUCACAUGUAAUUAUUCAUUUAAUCCUCCUAGAAGAUAGUAUUUUAAUAUCCGCAUUCUCAGAAGAAGAAACAUGGACACAGAGAUAUUACUAGGGUGGAAUUCAACCAAGGGUGUAAUGGCUUUGAAGCAGGCUGGCCUCACUUUGAACUCAGGAGAAGUGGAACAGAGUUGCAUAUUUUCUUAAGGCGCUGUUUUUCCACCUGGCGCCGACC